rnacentral:rRNA from 1 species
GAUGAACGCUGGCGGCGUGCCUAAUACAUGCAAGUCGAGCGAACGGACGAGAAGCUUGCUUCUCUGAUGUUAGCGGCGGACGGGUGAGUAACACGUGGAUACCCUCCCUAUAAGACUGGGAUAACUUCGGGAAACCGGAGCUAAUACCGGAUAAUAUUUUGAACCGCAUGGUUCAAAAGUGAAAGACGGUCUUGCUGUCUCUUAUAGCUGCAUCCGCGCUGCAUUAGAUAGUUGUUACGGUAACGGCUUACCAAGGCAACCAUGCAUAGCCGACCUGAGAGGGUGAUAGGCCACACGGGAACGGAGACACGGUCCAGACUCCUACGGGAGGCAGCAGAAGGGAAUCUGCCGCAAUGGGCGAAAGCCUGACGGAGCAACGCCGCGUGAGUGAUGAAGGUCUUCGGAUCGUAAAACUCUGUUAUUAGGGAAGAACAUAUGUGGAAGUAACUGUGCACAGCGUGACGGUACCUAAUCAGAAAGCCACGGCUAACUACGUG